UUUAUAANCAGUUUUAUACUAUUCACGUUCAACGUUAAUUGAUCGUUCGUCUUACUUGAAAAUUUUUUAUAAUUAGUAUUUUUAUUGUUAUUAGAUGAUAAAACAUGAAUAGUACUUUAUGUGUCACUAAAUAUUUUUAAAUUUUUUUACAAAAUUUUCAAAUAAGACGGACGGUAAAAUAUUGGGAACGGAUAUCCAUGACUGUACUUAUU
rfam:Oryza meridionalis cultivar OR44 (W2112) chromosome 9, whole genome shotgun sequence.